CCAAGCUACUGAUGCAUUGCAGAUAAAAUGCAGAUAAGGCAGACUGCAGCCUUAUCUGCAUUUUAUCUGCAAUGCAUCAGUAGCUUGG
rnacentral:miRNA from 1 species